rnacentral:rRNA from 1 species
CAGUCGCCGCGGUAAUACGAGGGGGGCAAGCGUUGUUCGGAAUUAUUGGGCGUAGAGGGUGCGUAGGCGGCUUGACAAGUCUUGUGUGAAAUCUAUGGGCUCAACCCAUAGUCUGCACGGGAAACUGUCGGGCUUGAGAAUGGGAGAGGUGAGUGGAAUUUCCGGUGUAGCGGUGAAAUGCGUAGAUAUCGGAAGGAACACCUGUGGCGAGAGCGGCUCACUGGACCAUUUCUGACGCUGAUGCACGAAAGCUAGGGGAGCAAACAGGAUUAGAGACCCCGGUAGUCCCUGUCUCUUAUAC